rnacentral:rRNA from 1 species
AUUGAACGCUGGCGGCAGGCCUAACACAUGCAAGUCGAGCGAGCGGCGGACGGUUGAGUAAUGCCUGGGAAUGUGCCUUACCGUGUGGGAUAACUAUUUGAAACGAUAGCUAAUCCCGCAUACGCCAAGAUUAUCCCAGGGGAGAUUAGCUAGUUGGUGAGGUAAGAGCUCACCAAGGCGACGAUCUCUAGCUGGUCUGAGAGGAUGAUCAGCCACACUGGGACUGAGACACGGGCCAGACUCACACGGGAGGCAGAAGGGGGGAAUAUUGCACAAUGGGCGAAAGCCUGAUGCAGCCAUGCCGCGUGGAUGAAGAAGGCCUUAGGGUUGUAAAGUACUUUCAGUAGGGAGGCGUUACCUACAGAAGAAGCACCGGCUAACUCCGUGCCAGCAGCCGCGGUAAUUC